UCGGUGCAGAGAAUUUAUCAACCUCCCCAGCACUCCCAGUACUCCCAGUAGGGAGUUUCCACAGCUUUUCCACAGGUGCUGAGUGACCUCCACACGCCGGGAAACAGAUGUUAACAUUUGUGGGAUUUUAGUGACGGGGGUCUUCUGUGUCUCCAGUGUCCCUUAUUUGACAGCAGGCUGACAGGAAAGGGGAAGGAGAGGGGAAAGACAUGCGGUAAAUGUCGACAGUCUGGGAAUCGAACCCACGACAGCCGCAUCGAGGACUCAAGGCCUCCUAACGUGGGUCGCGGUGUCCGCUACGCCACCACAGCAGGAUAUUUCAUGGACGUGAGCAGCUGAGGUUCCUCACUGACCACAGGACACGUCAAACUGGAACGUGGAUUUUUCUAUUCCUUUUGGGCCGAUGGCGUCUUCCUGUUUGGGUCCAUGUUGGUGCUGAACCCGCUGAUGCUCUCUUACCAACUCAACAUUUUAGGAUUUUGUUCUGGAGUUUAUUCCCAGAACCUGCCCAUGAAUUGGACUCUGAACCCGUCUCUGAACCCGUCUCCUUCCUGAACUGCAUGCAGUUUGAGUCGAUCCAGAUGCCUCCUCCAGGCAUUCAGGGAUCAGAAACAUGUAUGAACCCGACUUUAGGAGCUCCGCAGUUCCUUCCUGAUGUCUUUGCUGACUUCUUUUGAUUUUUCCAUCAUAUCAAAGUGUGUUUGAUGUGUUGCUUUGAAAUGAAAAUCUCUCAAAUAGCUUAAACAACCACAGCAUCAUCAUCUGCACUUUCAUAAUUUUUCUAAAACCUUUUCUCAAAACUUCUGAAUUAAUAGAAUAUCAAAUAAAAUCUAAGAUGUACUUAAGAGGUUGUGGAGCUUUAAUGGAGUAACAAAAACUUCCAACCAGGUCAUUUGAGUUGUUUGUGCUGGAGAAGCUGUGCGGCCCGGUUCAGACCCGUUACCUUCCCACAGCAGUUUGUGCAACUUUCUCUAAAUCCACUGAGUCAUGAAAUGCAACACUGCUGCUCUUUAUGGGUCUAUGAAGACAUGAAAAAACAACAGAAAAGGCUGGAGGAAUGUGGCCUCAGAGCGUUUUAUGAAGUUGUCGUGAAAGCAGAGAUUACCAGAGAGGUUUUUGAAGUAUUUCACAAGAAUGUCUUCCAAGAAUCACCAGUCUGUCUGCUAUCUGUCCAUGAAUGUUCCUACUCUUUUUCUUCUUCUUUUUAAUAACCAUUUGUGUUGUUGUCUGGUUGGUUUUACCCAUUAAAACAAU